CUUAAACCCUAAAGUAAAAGAAGUGGCUAUUUCUCAUUUCUCAACAGCCCAAGGGAACGAUGAAGUAGCAACCGAGAAGAAGAAAUUGAAAGGCAUUUUCAAAUUUCAACAACAACCAAUGAUCACUACUUGAGGAAAUAUUCAAGGAGCGAGGAAGAUUAGGCCAAAAUUCCCAUUUUUUGAAGGUAAAAACUGGAAAUGUUAGUUUGAAAUCUGUCUUAGUUUGAUAAUUUUGUUUCUAAGACUGCUACUUUUAAUCUUUCUCAUUUUUGAUGCAAUUGCAUUCACACGUGGAAAAUAUUUUAAAUCUAAUUCAUACGUGAACAAAUUGUUUGGCAGAUGUUAUCCACAUCGCUAUUAUUGUCGUUACCCACUUGACACUUCAUGCUUACAGAAUUCACUAGAAUUUUUUUGAAAUUAUCAAAACUUUUCACAAAUUUGUCCUCCAUAUUUGAAGUUAAAUUUCUAGCCCAUUGGUUUAUAGUCACCACCUAAUCGACCUUUACAGGUGAAGUCACCAAUUGCAUUUGAUUUUGAAAGUCUUGGUGGAUAUAGUGAAAUUUUAUAAAUGAUAGGAUCUGUUUUCUUGCAGACAGAGCUCUAUAUAUGUUUAGCUCGCGAUGAGCUUCCUAUUUUCCCGUCGGUAUCACUAUGCAGUAUAUCCUCAAUCAAUUGAAUAAAAACAAUUAUUCACCAAAAAUCUUUUACAAUAGAAAUGCAAUAUAUUAUAAUUUAUACUCGACUAUCAAAUGUGCAUUUUUAAGCUAAACAUUUUUUCUUAAAGGUGAAAUAACAUUAUUAUUACUGGUUGAAUGAUUCUCUAUUCAAAAUUCAAAUUUUAUUAACUUUGAACUUUAUUGGUAUGCUUUUUCCCUCUUUCAAUUUAUUGCUAGAAUUUGGUCUAAUUCUGAGCAUUAUGUUUGCCAUUUUUAGUUGCUACUACUUUGUAUCAUAGUGUGAUAUAUUUUUUGAAUUGAGAAAAAAUCAUAUCAUAGUUUGAAUUUGUAUUAGCUUUCGAUUGUCAGUUGAAUAUGCAAAAAAAUGACUUUCUUUUUCUGUACUCGACUAUGCCUUGAGUGCUUGUAUAAGUUUGGUGAAAAUGGAAAGCUCUAUGUCAUUUUUGACUCCCGCUUUUAUAUCUUAUUUAUCUCAUUCACUGGAAUUUUAAGCUCUUUGUUAUUUAGCAAGUUAAAAUCUUGACUUUACCAAAGCGGUUGGUGUUAGCAUG
rnacentral:lncRNA from 1 species